GACAGACAGUGCGAGCGUUAUUCGGAUUGACUGGGCGUAAAGGGUACGUAGGUGGUUUUAUUGAACGUGUUCGAAAAGUGAGAGAAUAACUAAUGACUGGGGCACGCAGAUUAUAAAACUAUGAGUUAGGUAGAGGUUGGCUAAAUUUUUAAUGGUAAGGGUAAAAUCUUUGAGAUAUUAGAAGGAAGACCAAAGUUGGAGAAAGCUUUCUAGACUUAACUGACGCUGAGGUACGGAAGCGUGGGGAUUCAACAGG
rnacentral:rRNA from 1 species